CCAGAGAAGGUAAUAUUUCAGUAUAAUAUUUCAAAUGUUGGCCUAAUAUUUGUAAAAUGUAAUCUGAUUCCAUUACUACCACUUGUUUUUGCCUUCCCAGCAUCCUUACCCUCUGACAUAGCUUGUAAUGUCUCACUUUUUCUUUUCUUUCCUUGUUUCUCAGAGAUGGGAUCUCUAUUGCCCAGGAUGGAGUGCAAUGAUGUGAACAUUGCUUACUGUAGCCUCUAACUCCUGAGCUCAAGCAAUCCUCCUGCCUCAGCCUCCUGAGUAGCUGAGAUUAUAGAUAUGUGCCACCACACCCAGCUCCACUUUUUGUUCUGGAAGAUUCUGCUCACAAUUAGCUGAAAGAAAACUCUCAGGUGCAGAGUCACAGAUGUGGAUAUCAGGAUGUGAUCAGCACGGACUGGAAUGGCGGUGCUGGGAUGAUCUGGUUGGACAAUGAGGACAUCUGCCAGAAUAACUCAUGGGGCUCCUGACCCAGGAACAGAGAGACAUCAAGUAAUUGCCUAGUUUGGACCACAUGCUAUAAGCAAGACUCUAGGGUUUCCCAGACACUUAGACAUCCAUGACAAGGUGAAAUAUAUGUUGGGAAAAAGACCCUGCAGCCCCUUCAUGACGGUGUUGAGCAGAUGGGCAGGCUGCCACGCUAGAACCUGGCCGUGCUUCCAGGUCCUACUUUCAGAAAAUAUAAAGAAAGCAAGGAAGGCAUGAGGAACAAAUGGAAAGGAUGAUAGAUUAGAACUUUUAACCGAAGCAAGCAGACAGAUUUGAAAUGCCAACGUGAACUGUGAGACAGACCUAGAAUGGGUUACGCGACUGCAACCAACGUAGAAAGACUGCACCAGCAGAAAUGGGGAAGGCUCCCACCAGAUUUCUUCAUGAACUCAAUGUGUGCUUCCUGUAGUUGACCCAUAGGUGUGGGGUGGUGGUGGUGGGGUCAAUCUUAAGCAUCAGAAAGAGUGUAAAAUAUCUCAUGUUAAUUUUUAUAUUGGUUACUCAUUUAAAUGACAGUUUUGUAUAUCUUGAGUUAAAUAAAAUGCAUUAUUAAAAUUAAUUUCA
rnacentral:lncRNA from 13 species